rnacentral:rRNA from 1 species
UACAGAGGUCCCAAGCGUUGUUCGGAUUCACUGGGCGUAAAGGGUGCGUAGGCGGUCGGGUAAGUCUGAUGUGAAAUCUCACAGCUUAACUGUGAAACUGCAUUGGAUACUAUCCGGCUAGAGGAAUGGAGGGGAGACUGGAAUACUUGGUGUAGCAGUGAAAUGCGUAGAUAUCAAGUGGAACACCAGUGGCGAAGGCGAGUCUCUGGACAUUUCCUGACGCUGAGGCACGAAAGCCAGG